rnacentral:lncRNA from 1 species
CCACUACAUCUGCAUGUAGAGCAUGCAUGUAUGCUAACGAAUCUGAACGCACGUGAGUACGUGACCUAGCGCAGGUUAGAAAAGAGCUAAAAGCACCGGAAGCUAGUACUACUACUACUAGUCAGCACUUGCGCCACCCUAGUCGUCUCCACGUUCUAUGAUUCUAUCCUCCCCUUGCUGCCGCUUGUUUUCUUCCACAGCAAGUCCACCACUGCCCUGUGCCUCGACGUAAGCUCACACAUGACCCAUCC